GACCUUGUAGCUUAAGUGGUAAAGCAUGGGUACUCUUGGGGGGCUCUAAACCUAUUAACCAUCAAAAAAAUCAAUCCUCCAAGAGUUCUCAAAGAUGUCUGUUCGAGUCAGACCUUGGUCA